rnacentral:lncRNA from 1 species
CACGGCAUGGCCCCCCGCCCGGGCACACGGAGCUCGGCGGCCGGCGCUGGCGGCUCGGCGGCCCGCCGGGCUCGAUGGGCCGCGGCGGAGCGGGGAGCGGUGCUGAGGCCGAAGCGGGAGCCGGGGCCGGGGCCGGGGCGGACACGGAAGCGGGAGCCCGCCAGGCACUCGCGCCGCGCGCCUGCAGCCGCGGGAGCCGGAAUCCUACCGGCUCGGGUUGAUUUGUAAACAAUGGGUGACGUCGCCGCCGGGCCCUACCACCGCGCCAGGACGGGGGUGCGCUGUACGGUUGGGGGGCGGGGCGCCCGCUGGGCCCGGGUGCAGGGUGAAACCUAGCUGCUUCUGAGUCCACCAACCCUGAGUGAUGUGUGCAGGAGCGCACUGGGUUGCGGAUACUCGCUCUGUCAGCCGGGCGUGGUUGGCAUUUCCAGAAAAUGAACACCGGCGUGGACUCAGUUGGUUUCUUCCACACACAAGCACAGACACUUACACCCACACA